UGGGGAAUCUUGCACAAUGGGGGAAACCCUGAUGCAGCGACGCCGCGUGAACGAUGAAGCCCUUCGGGGUGUAAAGUUCUUUCGACAGGAACGAUAAUGACGGUACCUGGAGAAGAAGCUGCGGCUAACUACGUGCCAGCAGCCGCGGUAAUACGUAGGCAGCGAGCGUUGUUCGGAGUUGCUGGGCGUAAAGAGUGCGUAGGCGGCGAGCCAAGUUUGGUGUGAAAUCUCCCGGCUUAACCGGGAGGGUGCGCCGAAAACUGGUUGGCUGGAGUAUGGGAGAGNAAAGCGGAAUUCCUGGUGUAGCGGUGAAAUGCGUAGAUAUCAGGAGGAACACCUGCGGUGUAGACAGCUUUCUGGACCAAAACUGACGCUGAGGCACGAAAGCGUGGGUAGCAAACA
rnacentral:rRNA from 1 species